rnacentral:rRNA from 1 species
GAUGAACGCUGGCGGCGUGCCUAAUACAUGCAAGUCGAGCGAACAGACGAGGAGCUUGCUCCUCUGACGUUAGCGGCGGACGGGUGAGUAACACGUGGAUAACCUACCUAUAAGACUGGGAUAACUUCGGGAAACCGGAGCUAAUACCGGAUAAUAUAUUGAACCGCAUGGUUCAAUAGUGAAAGACGGUUUUGCUGUCACUUAUAGAUGGAUCCGCGCCGCAUUAGCUAGUUGGUAAGGUAACGGCUUACCAAGGCGACGAUGCGUAGCCGACCUGAGAGGGUGAUCGGCCACACUGGAACUAACACACGGUCCAGACUCCUACGGGAGGCAGCAGUAGGAAAUCUUCCGCAAUGGGCGAAUGCCUGACGGAGCAACGCCGCGUGAGUGAUGAAGGUCUUCGGAUCGUAAAACUCUGUUAUUAGGGAAGACCAAAUGUGUAAGUAACUAUGCACGUCUUGACGGUACCUAAUCAGAAAGCCACGGCUAACUACGUG